rnacentral:rRNA from 1 species
AGAGUUUGAUCAUGGCUCAGAACGAACGCUGGCGGCAGGCUUAACACAUGCAAGUCGAACGCAUCCUUCGGGGUGAGUGGCAGACGGGUGAGUAACGCGUGGGAACGUGCCCUUCAGUUCGGGAUAACCCAGGGAAACUUGGGCUAAUACCGGAUACGUGCGAGAGCAGAAAGAUUUAUCGCUGAAGGAUCGGCCCGCGUCUGAUUAGCUAGUUGGUGGGGUAAUGGCCCACCAAGGCGACGAUCAGUAGCUGGUCUGAGAGGAUGAUCAGCCACAUUGGGACUGAGACACGGCCCAAACUCCUACGGGAGGCAGCAGUGGGGAAUAUUGGACAAUGGGCGCAAGCCUGAUCCAGCCAUGCCGCGUGAGUGAUGAAGGCCUUAGGGUUGUAAAGCUCUUUCGUCCGGGACGAUAAUGACGGUACCGGAAGAAGAAGCCCCGGCUAACUUCGUGCCAGCAGCCGCGGUAAUACGAAGGGGGCUAGCGUUGUUCGGAAUCACUGGGCGUAAAGGGCGCGUAGGCGGCUUUGUAAGUCGGGGGUGAAAGCCUGUGGCUCAACCACAGAAUUGCCUUCGAUACUGCAUGGCUUGAGACCGGAAGAGGUAAGUGGAACUGCGAGUGUAGAGGUGAAAUUCGUAGAUAUUCGCAAGAACACCAGUGGCGAAGGCGGCUUACUGGUCCGGUUCUGACGCUGAGGCGCGAAAGCGUGGGGAGCAAACAGGAUUAGAUACCCNNGUAGUCC